rnacentral:SRP_RNA from 2 species
GCCAGGUAUGGUGGUGCAUGCCUAUAGUCCCAGCUACUUGGGAGGCUGAGGUGGGAGGAUUGCUUGAGCCCAGGAGGUUGGGGGUGCAGUGAGCCGUGAUCGCAUCACUGCACUCUAGCCUGGGUGACAGAGUGAGAACUUGUCUCAA